rnacentral:rRNA from 1 species
CCCAGACUCCUACGGGAGGCAGCAGUGGGGGAUAUUGCACAAUGGGGGGAACCCUGAUGCAGCGACGCCGCGUGGGUGAAGGAGCGUUUCGGCGCGUAAAGCCCUAUCGGCAGGGAAGAAGGAGGACGGUACCUGACUAAGAAGCCCCGGCUAACUACGUGCCAGCAGCCGCGGUAAUACGUAGGGGGCAAGCGUUAUCCGGAUUUACUGGGUGUAAAGGGGGCGCAGACGGCAGCGCAAGCCAGGAGUGAAAGCCCGGGGCCCAACCCCGGGACUGCUCUUGGAACUGCGCGGCUGGAGUGCAGGAGGGGCAGGCGGAAUUCCUGGUGUAGCGGUGAAAUGCGUAGAUAUCAGGAGGAACACCGGUGGCGAAGGCGGCCUGCUGGACUGCGACUGACGUUGAGGCCCGAAAGCGUGGGGAGCAAACAGGAUUAGAUACCCUAGUAUAC